ACACCUUUGCCAACACUCUGGCCUUUAUCCCUUUCCGUCUCCGGAGAGCCAUCACCAGGAUAAUGUUGCCUAUUUUGAUGCAAAGAAGAUCAACUCUGUUACAGAAUGACACCCUACUCACCACGGCAUUCCCUACUUCCACCAUGGAUGCAGUGGUCCAUCAUCCUUCGUGUCUACAA
rnacentral:snoRNA from 1 species